rnacentral:rRNA from 1 species
UUGGCUCAGGAUGAACGCUGGCGGCGUGCAUAACACAUUCAAGUCGAACGAAGCGCUUAAACGGAACCCUUCGGGGGGAAGCUUAUGCGACUUAGUGGCGGACGGGUGAGUAACGCGUGAGCAACCUGCCUGUGAUAGAGGGAUAACACCUGGAAACGGGUGCUAAUACCACAUGAAGCGACGGUAUUGCAUGGUACUGUCGUUAAGGAUUUAUCGAUCGCAGAUGGGCUCGCGUAUGAUUAGGCAGUUGGCGGGGCAACGGCCCACCAAACCGACGAUCAUUAGCCGAACUGAGAGGUUGAACGGCCACAUUGGAACUGAGAAACGGUCCAGACUCCUACGGGAGGCAGCAGUGGGGAAUA